GAUGAACGCUAGCGGCAGGCUUAAUACAUGCAAGUCGUGGGGCAGCAUGAGUGUAGCAAUACAUUUGAUGGCGACCGGCAACGGGUGCGGAACACGUACACAACCUUCCUUCAAGUGGGGAAUAGCCCAGGGAAACUUGGAUUAAUACCCCGUAAUAUUAUGGAGUGGCAUCACUUUAUAAUUAUAGCUCCGGCGCUUGAUGAUGGGUGUGCGCCUGANAGGUAGUUGGCGGGGUAACGGCCCACCAAGCCUUCGAUCAGUAACUGGUGUGAGAGCACGACCAGUCACACGGGCACUGAGACACGGGCCCGACUCCUACGGGAGGCAGCAGUAAGGAAUAUUGGUCAAUGGACGCAAGUCUGAACCAGCCAUGCCGCGUGAAGGAUGAAGGCCCUCUGGGUUG
rnacentral:rRNA from 1 species